GUGUGUUUGUGCCGUCUGACCAUAGCAAGAGGGACUUAUAGGCAAGUUUACCCAGACCGCCCUUAUUAAUGUAAUGUGCCCUCUCUAAUGUAAAUGUUGUAUUAAUACGAAAGUUUAUAUUAUAGUAUACAACAGUUGGUGGUUUACCAAGUCGUAAAUUAAGUCCUGAUGUUUGUGCUGUAUGUGGUCAAGGAACAAAUCUUGCAGUUGCAUCUGACGAAGAUGCCCCGGAGAAAACUUGUCGACUUUCUUGUGAUCAUGUGUAUCCUUCAAGCUAUCCCAAACACAAUGCCGAGAGGAAUUCGGGUGAUUGGAAAUUAAAAUUAAUAAUAUAGAAAGAUCAGUCCGUAAAGACAGCAUACGCUGUUCUUGCGGGACGCCGCUACUUUUGUUAAUUGGACGUUACUUAAUUCGGAAAUCG